rnacentral:rRNA from 1 species
AGUGAACGCUGGCGGUAGGCCUAACACAUGCAAGUCGAACGGCAGCACAGUAAGAGCUUGCUCUUACGGGUGGCGAGUGGCGGACGGGUGAGGAAUACAUCGGAAUCUACUUUUUCGUGGGGGAUAACGUAGGGAAACUUACGCUAAUACCGCAUACGACCUACGGGUGAAAGCAGGGGAUCUUCGGACCUUGCGCGAUUGAAUGAGCCGAUGUCGGAUUAGCUAGUUGGCGGGGUAAAGGCCCACCAAGGCGACGAUCCGUAGCUGGUCUGAGAGGAUGAUCAGCCACACUGGAACUGAGACACGGUCCAGACUCCUACGGGAGGCAGCAGUGGGGAAUAUUGGACAAUGGGCGCAAGCCUGAUCCAGCAAUACCGCGUGGGUAAAGAAGGCCUUCGGGUUGUAAAGCCCUUUUGUUGGGAAAGAAAAGCAGCAGGUUAAUACGCCGCUGUUCUGACGGUACCCAAAGAAUAAGCAACGGCUAACUUCGUG